rnacentral:rRNA from 1 species
CCCUUAGAUGUUCUGGGCUGCACGCGCGCUACACUGAAGCUAUCAACACGUUUUCCCUCCCUGAGAAAGGCGGGUAACCUUUUGAAUCAGCUUCGUGGUAGGGAUCGGGGCUUGCAAUUGUUCCCCGUGAACCAGGAAUUCCUAGUAGACGCGAGUCAUAAGCUCGCAUCGAUUAAGUCCCUGCCCUUUGUACACACCGCCCGUCGCUACUACCGAUUGAACGUUUUAGUGAGGCAUUUGGACCGACGCAUCUCAGUUUAACCGCUGGUUUGUGUUGGAAAGACUUCCAAACUUGAGCGUUUAGAGGAAGUAAAAGUCGUAACA